rnacentral:rRNA from 1 species
CAGUAGCCGCGGUAAAACGUAGGUCCCGAGCGUUGUCCGGAUUUAUUGGGCGUAAAGCGAGCGCAGGCGGUUAGAUAAGUCUGAAGUUAAAGGCUGUGGCUUAACCAUAGUACGCUUUGGAAACUGUUUAACUUGAGUGCAAGAGGGGAGAGUGGAAUUCCAUGUGUAGCGGUGAAAUGCGUAGAUAUAUGGAGGAACACCGGUGGCGAAAGCGGCUCUCUGGCUUGUAACUGACGCUGAGGCUCGAAAGCGUGGGGAGCAAACAGGAUUAGAUACCCGCGUAGUCCCUGUCUCUUAUACA